UAUUGUGGGUGAUCUUUACGCUGCAUGCUGUAUGUACUAAUUGUGGUCUUUGCAUGUUUGUGUGCAGAUGUCAUCUGUGCGAAAGGGGGGGGGUGACCUGACCCAAGCACAGGACUUCAUUAAGUGGUUGCCAGGGUCUGUGGACAGCGGUGGUGGCAGGAAGAGGCGUUUCGCAGAAACGUUUGCAGCAGAGCAGCCCGAUGAUCCCUCCCUUCGGGGCAGGAAUCAUUGCCUGCCCACUGCUGCCCUCUCCCUGCCCCACCCUUGCCCUCAGGUCCCUGGCAAGUCCACCGUCGGCCCCUCCUCCCCUGCCGCCCCUGCCCCUCCUCCUGCUGCUGCCCCUGGAGCUGAGCACCCCUACUGAUGCCUGCAUCAGUUCAAGAAUUGUAUUGUAAAUAGUAUUCUAAAUAAAUUAUAUUUUCGUUUAUGCUUUG